rnacentral:rRNA from 1 species
UUUUAUGGAGAGUUUGAUCCUGGCUCAGGAUGAACGCUGGCGGCGUGCCUAAUACAUGCAAGUCGAGCGAACGGACGAGAAGCUUGCUUCUCUGAUGUUAGCGGCGGACGGGUGAGUAACACGUGGAUAACCUACCUAUAAGACUGGGAUAACUUCGGGAAACCGGAGCUAAUACCGGAUAAUAUUUUGAACCGCAUGGUUCAAAAGUGAAAGACGGUCUUGCUGUCACUUAUAGAUGGAUCCGCGCUGCAU